GCAAGGCGUCCCUCUCUUGCAGAACCUGAGGUGACACGUGCCACAGAUGGGGACCCCUGGACCGCAGCCCAGCAGCUCAAUUGAGACCUUAAGCUGCAGUCGGUGCUUUCACACAGUCUCACACUCAAGCCUGAGCAAUUUUCUCCUCCUCAGGAGACCCAACACUUGGGUUUAUGCCCAGCAGCAGGCCAUCUGUAAAGAUCACUCGUCAGGUUUGGUCCCCACUUCACUGCUGGUACAACUUUUUAAAGCCAGCCUUUGCCUCAGCAGCUGUGAACUUUCAUACACCAGCCGACAAGUGCGGGGAAUUACUGCCCACGCUACUGCCUGAUGCCGAGAAACAGCUCGGCAUCUUUAUAUGGCAAAGUGGGGGCCACUAGGAGGGUGUUCUGCUGCACUCUUCCCUUUUCAAUUUGUAAAAAUGUAAUGGAAAAUGGAAAAAUCGGGAGUACAAAUAUUUGAUUUGGGGGGGGCUGGAGUGCAGUCCAAUGGCAGUGUGUGCAUAGCAUGCAUGAGGCAGCAUAAAAAA